rnacentral:rRNA from 1 species
AUUGAACGCUGGCGGCAGGCCUAACACAUGCAAGUCGAGCGGAUGAAGGGAGCUUGCUCCUGGAUUCAGCGGCGGACGGGUGAGUAAUGCCUAGGAAUCUGCCUGGUAGUGGGGGAUAACGUCCGGACACGGGCGCUAAUACCGCAUACGUCCUGAGGGAGAAAGUGGGGGAUCUUCGGACCUCACGCUAUCAGAUGAGCCUAGGUCGGAUUAGCUAGUUGGUGGGGUAAAGGCCUACCAAGGCGACGAUCCGUAACUGGUCUGAGAGGAUGAUCAGUCACACUGGAACUGAGACACGGUCCAGACUCCUACGGGAGGCAGCAGUGGGGAAUAUUGGACAAUGGGCGAAAGCCUGAUCCAGCCAUGCCGCGUGUGUGAAGAAGGUCUUCGGAUUGUAAAGCACUUUAAGUUGGGAGGAAGGGAAGUAAGUUAAUACCUUGCUGUUUUGACGUUACCAACAGAAUAAGCACCGGCUAACUUCGUG